AGAGUGAACGCUGGCGGCAGGCCUAACACAUGCAAGUCGAGCGGCAGCGCGGGAGUAGCAAUACUUCUGGCGGCGAGCGGCGGACGGGUGAGGAACACAUCGGAAUCUACCCUGUCGUGGGGGACAACGUAGGGAAACUUACGCUAAUACCGCAUACGACCUUUGGGUGAAAGUGGGGGACUCGCAAGAGCCUCACGCGAUUGGAUGAGCCGAUGUCCGAUUAGCUAGUUGGUGGGGUAAUGGCCCACCAAGGCGACGAUCGGUAGCUGGUCUGAGAGGACGACCAGCCACACUGGAACUGAGACACGGUCCAGACUCCUACGGGGGGCAGCAGUGAGGAAUUUUCGUCAAUGGGGGCAACCCUGAACGAGCAACGCCGCGUGCAGGAAGAAGGUUUCGGAUCGUAAACUGCUUUUCUCGGGGAAGAGAACGGACGGUACCCGAGGAAUCAGCCCGGCUAACUACGUGCCAGCAGCCGCGGUAA
rnacentral:rRNA from 1 species